rnacentral:rRNA from 1 species
CCUACGGGAGGCAGCAGUGGGGGAUAUUGCACAAUGGAGGAAACCCUGAUGCAGCGACGCCGCGUGUGGGAAGACGGUCCUCUGGAUUGUAAACCACUGUCACCAGGGACGAAGAUGACGGUACCUGGGGAGGAAGCUCCGGCCAACUACGUGCCAGCAGCCGCGGUAAUACGUAGGGAGCGCGCGUUGUCCGGAAUUACUGGGUGUAAAGGGAGCGUAGGCGGGUCUGCAAGUUGGGUGUCAAAUCUACCGGCUCAACCGGUAGCCGCACUCGAAACUGCAGGUCUUGAGUGAAGUAGAGGCAGGCGGAAUUCGUGGUGUAGCGGUGAAAUGCGUAGAUAUUGGGAAGAACACCGAUGGCGAAGGCAGCCUGCUGGGCUUUUACUGACGCUGAGGCUCGAAAGUGUGGGGAGCAAACAGGAUUAGAUACCCGGGUAGUC